rnacentral:rRNA from 1 species
GACGAACGCUGGCGGCGUGCCUAAUACAUGCAAGUUGAGCGAUGAAGAUUGGUGCUUGCACCAAUUUGAAGAGCAGCGGACGGGUGAGUAACGCGUGGGGAAUCUGCCUUUGAGCGGGGGACAACAUUUGGAAACGAAUGCUAAUACCGCAUAACAACUUUAAACAUAAGUUUUAAGUUUGAAAGAUGCAAUUGCAUCACUCAAAGAUGAUCCCGCGUUGUAUUAGCUAGUUGGUGAGGUAAAGGCUCACCAAGGCGAUGAUACAUAGCCGACCUGAGAGGGUGAUCGGCCACAUUGGGACUGAGACACGGCCCAAACUCCUACGGGGGGCAGCAGUAGGGAAUCUUCGGCCAUGGACGAAAGUCUGACCGAGCAACGCCGCGUGAGUGAAGAAGGUUUUCGGAUCGUAAAACUCUGUUGGUAGAGAAGAACGUUGGUGAGAGUGGAAAGCUCAUCAAGUGACGGUAACUACCCAGAAAGGGACGGCUAACUACGUG